AUAUAUAUGCGAUCUACCCAUUGCAUUAUAUACGCAUAAUAGUUAUUAUGAAAGUAAACGAUUCACAUUAUUAUUUGUUUAUCUAAAACUUAAUGCAAAUUUAUUUGCUUAUGCAUUAAUUGUUUACCACGUAUGUGAAUACGUAUAUUCAUUAUUAUAUAUCGCAUUAAUGCACUGCAUACAUUUCGAUUUUUAUUUAUUUAUUUAUAUCAACGUUAUUAUUUAUUAUGCACAAUGCUAUUGUUUUCUUUGCAUGUGUCAAUACAACUACCUAAUAAUUAAAUAAUUUAAUUGUAAUCAUUUUCAAAAGUUUGAAUAGUACGUUUGAAUUCGCGCCGCGCGAUACGUGCACUAUAUAUGUGAUUUUCCGUUGUCUCUGUCAUUGUACUAUAGUUAAUUAAGCGGGAAACGCAACAAAGUAUAUUACUUUUUGCUUUGAUGAUUUCCCUCGUUAACAGCAAAAAACUUCGUUCGCUGAAUAAUCGUUGAAUAUCAACAAUUGUUUCUGCAAACUUGGAUAAUCACUUGUGUUAUUGCUUAAUCAACUCAAUUAGACCCGGAUAGUCGAAGAAUCUUGCCGCAUUUCCUGAGGAAGCUGUUGAUCGUCGACCCUCGCUUGCGUCCAUCUCCAGCUAGAGAGGGGCUGCUCAACAGGUCCUGGAAGCCUCGUCUUCUUCGACUGCACCUGAUGGACAUUGAGUUUGUCAGGCAGCUUACACAUACAUAUAUUUUCUGUUUCAUACACUCCAUCCUGCAACUUGAUUACUUUUCUUUCAUUAUUUCUCAUUACAACAAUAGUUCAUAUAGACUUUACUCAUUCUUUCUUAUACUUUCUAUUUUCGAGCCUAAUAUUGUCAACCACACCAUCGUCUGGACCAUCUACCACACCACAGCACCUGCGGUUCCUAGAAUAUUAUAUAAAGUUAGCUGAAAAAAAACCACAGACAACAACAGCCACUCAGCGGAAGAUAAGAAUUGCAGCUUGCUUCUGAGGUACUUCGACAGGUUCAGCUCACCAUACUCACCAAUAUAGUUGGAAUAGCAAAAACACCAUCAGAAGCGCAGCCAGGAAUAUGCGUCAAAAUUAGGAUUAUCUUUAUAGAUAAGUAUAUUAUCUAGCGUUUAUAAUUUAUUCAAUUACAAAUUUAAAUCUGUUUUAUAUUUAUUUGCAGCGGCAGCAGCAAAGUCAACAAUAAUAACAAGGAAGUGUGCCGAUUGUUCUCCUCGCCUCCAGGAGUCGUCCAAUUUUCAACUGCUUUAUUAUUAUUUAAUAUUGUUCGUUUAUUAAUAUUAUUAUUAUUCUUGUUAUCAUUAUAUUAGAUUGAUCAAAGCUCAAAAAUUGUUAUGUAUAUUUUAUUCGAUAUCAUUGUUAUAUUUUUAUAUUUGUACUGCGCUAUAGUUUUAUUGUUUCAAUUGUAUUUAUUUAUUUAUAUUAAUGUUUUAAUAAAUCAUACAUAUUAAUUAGCUCCGUGAAGUCCUAAAAUAACUUUCAUAUAUCGUAAUAAAAAAAAUACCAGUAAUUGCGGAAUCGAUAACAACGUUAACAACCGCAAGUUACAAAAUUGCGGGUGGUUUUCUUUUUUUGUAAAAAAUCAAAAACUUUUUGAGUCGUCAAAACUAUGGGUAUACGGUUUUGUAAGGAGAUACCCAUUAUUUAUAGAUAUGAAACCAAUAUGAAUCGUUCCCAAUUUAAUUGCGGUCUUUAUAAAUAAUUGCGUUACCACCAAAUUUGCUGUAAUUAAUUAGUUAUUAAUUAAUUUUAUUUUGGCGAUAAAUUUGUCCAUUCCAUAGUCCGCGUUCCGGCUGUCCGAUUGGUUCUGCGCAUGACUCGAAGUCGAAGGAGCAGACAGCAGUACACAAUUUAAAUUCGCGUUACCACGUAACCUCAAAUUAAUUGUAAAUAAAGCUAACGCUUGUGAAUCGUGCUUCUAACAACGCUGAAGAAUAAUGGAUCAGAUAAAUAUCAAAGUUUUAAAAUAAUCGAACGUAAAGAAAAGCAAGAAUAAUUUACUUUGUUUUUCUUUUAUUAUUUUUACAGGCAACAGUGAUAAAUAGGAUUUGUGCAAUGGUAGUAACAAAUCAUCAUCUGUUGAAAAUGGCACUCAAGCAAAAUUGUGCAUUGAUUCUGAUCUUAAUAACAUCAGCCACAAUAUAGAAAACCCUCUAUAGUUUUCUACUUAUUCUCCGGACAAGUUAUGGAUGGCGAAUGUGAAAAGGUUACAAUUUACAAUUUGGUGGCUUAUUAAGAGAAUCAGUUAUCAAUGAAAUUAAUUUUGAUGAUGUUAAUUCACAAUGCCAAACGACAAACUCCAUUUGUCCAAAGAAUAAGCACAUCCAAUGCGAUAUACACUCCUCUGACAUGGCAGCAGGGAGAUCCAAGAAGAUCAUAUACCACAGAUAUUGAAAUGAGCAAAAUCUGAACCUGACUUUACGAUGACUAACUAACAAUUAUUUUUCAUAUUUAUACUUUUUACUAUAUUUAUAUUUAUACUAUUUAUACUUAUGUUAUUUUCAACUAUUUAUAGUCACCAGCUGUACCUGCAAGUUCCAAUGGUGGUACUGGAAUAAUAACAAAAGAACAUACAAGAGCAUCUCUUUUAUCCGAGCUUUUGUCAAUCAUAGGAGAUACAAACUACAACUACGACGACUAACAACUAUAUGAUAACCAAUCUAUUGAGGGUGAUGAUACUGUUACUACAGUUUCUCCAUUAUACAAACAAAUGCUGAAUGUUUUUGUGGAGAAAGCUGCUAUUGAAGAUGCAAUUUACUAUCUUGCUGAAGGAUUGCGAAGCAGCACAAUUGAUUUGGAUGCUUUUCUCAAACAAAUCAGGCACCUAUCGAGAAGACAAUUCAUACUCAGGGCACUCGUGUCUGCACUUUGAAAGCAGAAAGCUGGAUUAGCAAAUUAAAAAGAAGAAAGAUCCUUUCACAUUAUUAUUUUAUUUUUCAAAAUGUAUCAAAGUUUGCUGAUACACGUCUAUAGUAUCAUCCUCAUCCAUCUGUAUAACAUAGAAGUCCAGUUCAUGAACAGGUUGACUGACCAUCAAACCAGAAUCGCACUGCAGUAAUUGCAAGUUGUCUGCAAUUGCUAAUUGUUCAUAAAGUGUUUGGGAUAAAUUAAAUCCUGCUUUUAGGUACAGAAAUAUUCUUCCUCCUUAUUCCAACAGGCCAAAGCUUACAGACUAACAUCCAAGAUGAGGAACGACAAGUAUAUAAAAUUUACAAAUUAUAAAUGUUAAAAAAUAAGGUGCAUAUUCUUGAUAGUUUUCCAACUCUAAUUGAUAAAGUUUGUCUGCUGAAUUAUUAGGAUGGAUCAGGUGUAACACUUUCGAAAGGUUCUGGGAUUCUGCUUAUAAGCUUAUCUUCAAUGUUUUUUUUUCUAUGAUCUGUAAAAUGUAUUUUAUUAAAAUAUAUCCAUCUAGUUGAAAAAUUAUCAAGAUAAAACUAAAAACUACUUAUUUGUUUUGUCGGAUGCUCAAGCACCUGUAUUGUGAAUUUAUUAACUGUACAGUUCAUGUUGCAUAAGAACAUCAACACAACAUCUAGCUUUUAUCGUACCUUCUGGGUUGACUGCUAUUUGUAUGAAAAUCAUAAGGAUUGUACAAAAUCUGUAUUGGAUGCACGGUGUCAAAAAGAAGGAGAUGGAAGCUUUAAUUGAAGCAAGAUCAGCCUAGGAGAUUAGCGCACACAUAUGUACCU